GUACACUCCUACGGGAGGCAGCAGUGGGGAAUAUUGCACAAUGGGCGCAAGCCUGAUGCAGCCAUGCCGCGUGUAUGAAGAAGGCCUUCGGGUUGUAAAGUACUUUCAGCGGGGAGGAAGGCGAUAAGGUUAAUAACCUUGUUGAUUGACGUUACCCGCAGAAGAAGCACCGGCUAACUCCGUGCCAGCAGACGCGGUAAUACGGAGGGUGCAAGCGUUAAUCGGAAUUACUGGGCGUAAAGCGCACGCAGGCGGUCUGUCAAGUCGGAUGUGAAAUCCCCGGGCUCAACCUAGGAACUGCAUUCGAAACUGGCAGGCUAGAGUCUUGUAGAGGGGGGUAGAAUUCCAGGUGUAGCUGUGAAAUGCGUAGAGAUCUGGAGGAAUACCGGUGGCGAAGGCGGCCCCCUGGACAAAGACUGACGCUCAGGUGCGAAAGCGUGGGGAGCAAACAGGAUUAGAAACCCUGGUAGUCCCAUGA
rnacentral:rRNA from 1 species